UACGGGGGGGGCAAGCGUUGUUCGGAUUUACUGGGCGUAAAGGGCGCGUAGGCGGCCAGCGCAAGUCAGUUGUGAAAUCUCCGGGCUUAACUCGGAACGGUCAGCUGAUACUGCGCGGCUAGAGUGCAGAAGGGGCAACUGGAAUUCUCGGUGUAGCGGUGAAAUGCGUAGAUAUCGAGAGGAACACCUGCGGCGAAGGCGGGUUGCUGGGCUGACACUGACGCUGAAGCGCGAAAGCUAGGGGAGCGAACGGG
rnacentral:rRNA from 1 species